rnacentral:sRNA from 1 species
AUCGCUUCUCGGCCUUUUGGCUAGGAUCAAGUGUAAAAAAUAUAUAUUUCUAGAGCCAGAUCCUACCUAGCAAUGCCCUGACAUAACAUCUGAUCCUUUAGGAAAACAGUAUUACAAUGCUUACUCAAGCACAUGACAUCCCUACAGAUUAUUCUUAAUAAUUG